rnacentral:rRNA from 1 species
AAAUUGAAGAGUUUGAUCAUGGCUCAGAUUGAACGCUGGCGGCAGGCCUAACACAUGCAAGUCGAACGGUAACAGGAAACAGCUUGCUGUUUCGCUGACGAGUGGCGGACGGGUGAGUAAUGUCUGGGAAACUGCCCGAUGGAGGGGGAUAACUACUGGAAACGGUAGCUAAUACCGCAUAACGUCGCAAGACCAAAGAGGGGGACCUUCGGGCCUCUUGCUAUCGGAUGUGCCCAGAUGGGAUUAGCUAGUAGGUGGGGUAACGGCUCACCUAGGCGACGAUCCCUAGCUGGUCUGAGAGGAUGACCAGCCACACUGGAACUGAGACACGGUCCAGACUCCUACGGGAGGCAGCAGUGGGGAAUAUUGCACAAUGGGCGCAAGCCUGAUGCAGCCAUGCCGCGUGUAUGAAGAAGGCCUUCGGGUUGUAAAGUACUUUCAGCGGGGAGGAAGGGAGUAAAGUUAAUACCUUUACUCAUUGACGUUACCCGCAG